rnacentral:rRNA from 1 species
GAUGAACGCUGGCGGCGUGCCUAAUACAUGCAAGUCGAGCGAACGGACGAGAAGCUUGCUUCUCUGAUGUUAGCGGCGGACGGGUGAGUAACACGUGGAUAACCUACCUAUAAGACUGGGAUAACUUCGGGAAACCGGAGCUAAUACCGGAUAAUAUUUUGAACCGCAUGGUUCAAAAGUGAAAGACGGUCUUGCUGUCACUUAUAGAUGGAUCCGCGCUGCAUUAGCUAGUUGGUAAGGUAACGGCUUACCAAGGCAACGAUGCAUAGCCGACCUGAGAGGGUGAUCGGCCACACUGGAACUGAGACACGGUCCAGACUCCUACGGGAGGCGGCAGUAGGGAAUCUUCCGCAAUGGGUGAAAGCCUGACGGAGCAACGCCGCGUGAGUGAUGAAGGUCUUCGGAUCGUAAAACUCUGUUAUUAGGGAAGAACAUAUGUGUAAGUAACUGUGCACAUCUUGACGGUACCUAAUCAGAAAGCCACGGCUAACUACGUG